CCUACGGGAGGCAGCAGUGGGGGAUAUUGCACAAUGGGGGCAACCCUGAUGCAGCGAUGCCGCGUGAAUGAAGACGGCCUUCGGGUUGUAAAGUUCUGUCGCAGGGGACGAAAAUGACGGUACCCUGCAAGAAAGCCCCGGCUAACUACGUGCCAGCAGCCGCGGUAAUACGUAGGGAGCAAGCGUUGUCCGGAAUUACUGGGUGUAAAGGGAGCGUAGGCGGGAGGAUAAGUUUGAUGUGAAAUCUAUGGGCUCAACCCAUAGCUGCGUUCAAAAAUGUUGUUCUUGAGGGGAAGAAGAGGCAGGGGGAAGUCUGGGUGUAGCGGUGAAAUGCGGAGAUAUGAGGAGGAACACCGGGGGCGAGGGCGGCCCUCUGGACUUUUACUGACGCUGAGGCGCGAAAGCGUGGGGAGAAAACAGGAUUAGAUACCCGGGUAGUC
rnacentral:rRNA from 1 species